GGGCGAGCACGGUGAUUACCAUGGAGUUACCCAGCACGCCCAGUGUGAAGAUCAACAGAAAAACCAGCAGCGUGAUGAAGUUUUCCGUGCCAAUCCCGAAUAAACGUUUCUUCCCCUCAUCCUCUUCCAGCGUGCUUCACACACCUGUUUACAAUUUCCUCAUCAGCUGUGGGGAUUUAUGGUGCUGCUGGAAGACCACGCUUUGCCUGACGCUUGGCCUUCUUGGUAGAAUCAAGCCAACAGAUGGUUUCCACGCCACUCCAAGCUUCUUCAACAAACCAUGCCUCUGCCCAGAAAUCCACAGCCUUCAACUGAAGCGCCAGAGUCCUCAGCUUUCAUCUGCCAGCCCACUCUCCAAACCUCCUCGUUUGGAUCACUAACUUCCAUCUGCUUCCCUCACAUUGGAACCACUCUUGGAGCUCAACCUUACACAAAAUUGUGCUAACCUGCACUAUCAGAUUAGCACCAGGAUCUCAACUUCCUCUCCAAAUCAUCUACCGAGAACGGCUCAACUUUGAAUCCAGUCCUUCGAUCAGCUUUUCCCCACAGCACCGGCUGAAAUAUCAACCCAACAGGUUGAUCUACACCACUGCUUGACAGUUGGAGAGAUGUGCUAUUUUAUUAGGGUGGGGGGGAGGUCCUGCCUCAACUGGAGGAGCUAAAGUUUUGUUCACAAGCGAGGGGAGAAUGGAGCCGGAGAUCGACAGACGGAUCACUGCGGCCGCCACAGUAAUGAGGACACUGUGCCAGUCCGUUGUGGUGAAGAGAGAGCUGAGCUGAUAAGCGAGGCUCUCGAUUUACAGAUCGUUCUACAUUUCUACCCUCACCUUUGGGCAUUUCCUUUGGGUCAUGACUGAAAUAACGAGAUCCUGGAUACAAGCGGCUGAAACGAGCUUCCUCCGCAGGGUGGCCAGGCACUCCUUCAGAGAUAAGGUGAGGAGCUCAACCAUCCGGGAAGAGCAAGGAGUAGAGCUGCUGCUCCUCCACAUUGAGAAGAGCCAGCUGAGGUGGCUUGGGCAUAUUGGAGUCAUCCAUUUUGGUUGCACAGUUAAACAUGCGCAACAGACAUCGGAGCUCUGACGUCACCCAGGAUUAUAAAACCCACGGAAAAUAAACCUUUGGAGUUUAUUUUCCGAAAGUGAAAUCAAGUUUCGUUGCCAUUUCCAGCAUGUCUCAUGGGACAACGCAACGGAGGCGCAUAUCUGGAGAAACAAAAGCUCGCAGGCGUCUUUUUCUCCACAAGGCCA